CCUACGGGAGGCAGCAGUGGGGAAUAUUGCACAAUGGGGGAAACCCUGAUGCAGCGACGCCGCGUGAGUGAAGAAGUAUUUCGGUAUGUAAAGCUCUAUCAGCAGGGAAGAAAAUGACGGUACCUGAUUAAGAAGCCCCGGCUAACUACGUGCCAGCAGCCGCGGUCAUACGUAGGGGGCAAGCGUUAUCCGGCUUUACUGGGUGUAAAGGGAGCGUAGACGGCAGCACAAGUCUGGAGUGAAAUGCCGGGGCUUAACCCCGGAAGUGCUUUGGAAACUGUGCAGCUAGAGUGCAGGAGAGGUAAGUGGAAUGCCUAGUGUAGCGGUGAAAUGCGUAGAUAUUAGGAGGAACACCAGUGGCGAAGGCGGCUUACUGGACUGUAACUGACGUUGAGGCUCGAAAGCGUGGGGAGCAAACAGGAUUAGAUACCCCGGUAGUC
rnacentral:rRNA from 1 species